rnacentral:rRNA from 1 species
GAUGAACGCUGGCGGCGUGCCUAAUACAUGCAAGUCGAGCGAACAGACGAGGAGCUUGCUCCUCUGACGUUAGCGGCGGACGGGUGAGUAACACGUGGAUAACCUACCUAUAAGACUGGGAUAACUUCGGGAAACCGGAGCUAAUACCGGAUAACAUGUUGAACCGCAUGGUUCAACAGUGAAAGACGGUCUUGCUGUCACUUAUAGAUGGAUCCGCGCCGCAUUAGCUAGUUGGUAAGGUAACGGCUUACCAAGGCAACGAUGCGUAGCCGACCUGAGAGGGUGAUCGGCCACACUGGAACUGAGACACGGUCCAGACUCCUACGGGAGGCAGCAGUAGUGAAUCUUCCGCAAUGGGCGAAAGCCUGACGGAGCAACGCCGCGUGAGUGAAGAAGGUCUUCGGAUCGUAAAACUCUGUUAUUAGGGAAGAACAAAUGUGUAAGUAACUAUGCACGUCUUGACGGUACCUAAUCAGAAAGCCACGGCUAACUACGUG